rnacentral:rRNA from 1 species
AAAAACAUGUCUGUUUGAAGAUAUAAAAAGUUUGGCCUGCCCACUGAUGAGUAAUUUUAAAGGGCCGCAGUAUCCUGACUGUGCAAAGGUAGCAUAAUCGUUAGUUUUUUAAUUGGAAUCUUGUAUGAAUGGUUUGACAAAAAAAAAUCUGUCUUUAUAAUUAUUUAUUGAAUUUAACUUUUAAGUGAAAAGGCUUAAAUAAGUUGAAAAGACGAUAAGACCCUAUAAAGCUUGAUAUUAAAUAUAUUAUUAAAUAAAAUUUUAAAUAAUAUAAAAAUUUAGUAAUUAAGUUUUAUUUUAUUGGGGUGAUAAUGGUAAAAUAAUUAAUAACUGUUAAUUUUUUAAAGACAAAAAUAGAUGAAUAAAAAAUUUAUUAUAAAUGAUCCUAUAUUAAAGAUUAAAAGUUUAAGUUACUUUAGGGAUAACAGCGUUAUUUUUUUUGAGAGUUCUUAUCGAGAAAAAAGUUUGCGACCUCGAUGUUGAAUUAAAAUAUCUAUAUAAUUG